CCCUUUGAACAUUUUCAUCAAUCUGCAACUCCCAUAGUUACAAGUCAUUCACAACUGUCCUAAUCUACAAAAGCAGAACACUCAAAACCAACUAAAAAAAUCAUUUCAAUAUCCAAAAUUUCACAUAAAUCACAAAUUAAAAUCAUCAUUCAAGUGUUAGGAAGCUCACAUCUUUAAAAUCACAUUAAAAGCACUCAAAAGCAUAAUCAUCAAAAUCUAAAAACGCUAACUUUAAGUACGAAACCAAUAAAUCUGGAAAGUGAAAGCUAAACCAAACACUAAAAAUGAACGAUCACUGGACUAAAUAAAUAUCAUCAACUUCCAAAAAUAGAAAAAGAUGAGAUUUUUAAAAAUGAAACCUUGUCUCCUCUCUCGAUGUACUU